GUGCUUGCUUCCGCAGCACAUAUACUAAAAUUGGAACAACAGAGAAGAUUAGCAUGGUCCCUGAGCAAGGAUGACAUGCAAGUUCAUGAAGCAUUCCAUAUUAAA
ensembl:snRNA U6 U6 spliceosomal RNA